rnacentral:tRNA from 1 species
GCCGCCAUAGCUCAGCUGGUAGAGCAGCUCACUUGUAAUGAGAAGGUCCAGGGUUCAAUUCCUUGUGGCGGCACCA